ACUACGAGCUUAGCUAAAAACCCAAAGGACUUGACGGUACCCCAUAUCCCCCUAGAGGAGCCUGUCCUAUAAUCGAUAAUCCACGUUAAACCUCACCAUUUUUAGUUACUCAGCCUGUAUACCUCCGUCGUCAGCUUACCACGUGAGCGCCAAUUAGUGAGCCUAAUGUUUAUUCACCAACACGUCAGGUCAAGGUGCAGCAAAUGAAAUGGAAAGAGAUGGGCUACACUUUCUAAAUUAGAAGAAACGAAAAACUAUCUAUGAAACCUAGUUAGAAGGCGGAUUUAGCAGUAAAAAGGAAUCAGCACGUCCAUUUUAACCCGGCACUGGGGUGUGUACACACCGCCCGUCACCCUCUUCAAAGCUAUCAGCCUAGUCCUUAACAAACUAAAGCACGACAGAAGAGGCAAGUCGUAACAUGGUAA
rnacentral:rRNA from 1 species